AUAUUAUUAUUAUCAUUGUACGUGGGUGCACAUUAGCUGCGUUAGUGCGAUGCUCCGCCCUAGGUAAAUAGCCGUGGUUUACUGCUGAAAAUGCUCGGGAAUGCGUGUGAAAAUUCAGUCGAGCGAGGACUUAUGCAAGUGUAGGAUGCAUAUUGUGUUUGCGCGUCAAAGGUAGUUUCUAUGAGCUUCUUCGCGCCGGGCUUUAUAGGAGGCGAUUACAUAAGGUUUUGCAUAAAUUUCCAUGUGAGAAUGAGACUGUACUUUGCGAGUGCGCGAAGUAGUGCGGAGUGGGUCAUUCCUCAAAUCUUGCUUUGCAUAUCAGUAUAUACACCUCUAUUCUCUAUGGGCUUGGGUAAUACACGUACAAUGGUGAAAUUACGCUUUUAAAUCGCGUUAUUUUUUGUAGUAUCGUGGAUACCUAGGCACAUAUACGCGUAUAUGUGCGGAGCUCGUUAUCGUGAUUUAGCGUUUUACAGUCGAGUUAAAGGUCGAGUGAAAAUUAAUAAGGACUCGUUUGCUUAUGCAAAAGCUUUACAUUAUUGCUCACCUGCCCGGUGAGUUAUUGUGCAGUUGCAGUAUACUUGAUAAAUUAUUCAAUAAUAUAUUUGCAUAUCUUAGUAUAUCCACGAGUAAAGUUCUGCUGUUCCUUGUAUAUUGUAAUUCUCGUACCCGCGUGAUUGACUCUUUUAUACGCAGGAAUAACGUCAAAUACUCAUUUUUCAAUUCUAUUUUUUAUCUUUUUUUCUUUUUUUUAUUCAAUCAUUUAUUGGUACGCGCCUAAAGAGUAUUUUACGAUACGCGCAAUUUUUGCCCUUUUUUCGUAUCUCCCGCCAAAAUGACGUCACACUGAUAUUUGAACAACAAUCCCGCAUAUAUUCGUAUACUUCAUGCAAAUCGAGUUAUCCUAUAAAUCCUAGAAAUAAAGUAUUAAAGAAUUAAUAUUUUGCAGCAUUGCAAUCAAUAGUAUUAGUGAGAUUUUUAAAAAUCUCGAACUUCCGGUCGACACUUUUUGGGACGGGACAUUAGCGCCCUCCGCGACCUCCGGCCCUCCACCCCGCGCAUUUUCUCGGCGGCCGGCGAAGGAGAAACAGCAACCGUCAGUUAGCGCGUCGGGUUUUUUGUUCGCCCAUAAAAGUUCUUUAUCGUUGACUUCUUUGCUCUGUGCAUACCAAGAAAGUAUCGGUUUUAGAGUCAGUGCGUGUUCCAGAUGAUGAUGUUCGUUAGGCCGGGUGAGAGAAAAAACCGUUAGACGAGAAGGUGUUCGAGGAAGCCGGGGGAAACCGACUCGCGCAUUGGCGUUUUUCGCAAAGUUUUCGGUUAAUUAUGCGUUUAGCCACGCAAGUUUGACUUUUGGUAACGUUUUCUGUCGACACUCGGUAAUUUUCGUUUUUAUCGCUCGCGACAAGCGAAACAAAGCAAAGACUUUUCCGCCAUUUUCGAGUCAUGGCGGUACCUGACGUGCAGCCCUUCUACAGCUAUAAGUGUUACUGUGUCGAUAUUGAUUCGUCAUAGGGAAAGGUAGAUCACACACUUACCGAGCCUAUUACCUGUUGCCGAGCUGCUUUGAUCGUGAUCUACUUUGCCGAUAGCUGCAUCUGAAUUCCUGUGUGACAUAACGCGCAAAAUCUGCAAGAGAGCCUCUCGUCACGUCGAUUGAAUGCCGUUGCGCCGAGCCGUUCGAGCCGCGAGAUGAAAGGAGCAGCGUGCAAAUGUUUCACUGGAGAAGCUGCGCUGAGCUGAUGGAACCCUCGGAAAAAAGGAACGUAAAUUUCGAGGCAGAGUCGCAACGCGAUACGAGAGAGGAUGAGUCACAGAGCGUAGACGGCGAAAUUCGGAUUCACUCAGAGCGAUGCGACCACCGCGCGCUCGAGGGAAUCUGGGUCGACGCUACUACCAUGGACGAAUUCGAGAGGCUUUUAUUUACGUGAUACGAUGAAACCGCUCGCACGGGUAUAUGGACGCUGUAAAUAAAGCCGAGACUCUUCACACUCGGCCGGACAUAAAUCUGACAAAAUCUACCCUCAGUCGAUGAGGGUCGUCUUUAUUGUCUCGGCAAGUCGCAGCUCUCGAGGGCCCUUCAGCGAGAGAUAGAGAAGAAAACGAGCACCAGGCCACUCUAUCCUCCGACGACGAUGAUGGCUAGAGGAAGAAGAGACUCUUGCUCACAGACGCCGUAUUUUUUGCGUUACUUCAACGAGAGCUGAAAAUUAUGUGAGCCGACUGUUUCUGACGCGUCGUCACUCAAAAGUAACUUUAUCACCGCGAAAGCUCGGAUGUGAUAAAACACACGAUUUAUGCUUUAUGUAUCUUGUCCAACGACGAGAGAUAAAUAGAUAGUAUAUCUUUCGCCAUGCACAA